AGAACACCUGGCAAUCCCUUGAAUUUUUCAGAUGUCUCUUCAGAUACAGUGCAUUGAAAGCCCGUGUAUGUAGUAGUACUAAAAGCAUACAUAUUUUUCUUGGCUUCUUCCAUACUUCCAACAACAGUGGCGAGAGUGUUGAGAUACGUCUCAAUCAUCUGCUCCCGAGUCGGUGCCGGAUCCUUGGGGAACUCCAUCACGAUGAGCCAGUGGUUGUAGUCGCAGCCGGGCAGCAGAAUCGUCUCCCUCGGCUCACUGCUGCUGCUCCGCCUCGAUGAGUACUCGCUGUCCAGCGCCGCCGUCCGACCCGCCGCUCGCCGGCGCGAUGAGAAGGGGGGCGGGCGGCUGGGACCGAAGGGGGAAGCGAGGGCGGCGCGCGGGAACAUGAAGGUGGGGGCGAAGGAGGUGAGGGUUGGGGACGGGGUGGGAAAUGAGGGGAUUAAGG
rnacentral:misc_RNA from 1 species